UUAGAUCCGUCGUUUUGUCUGUCGUCUUCAGCCUCAUCAAUUCUUCUUCACCCUCCGGCGAUCUUCCCUCCUCUGGUCAAGCCUCGGAGGAAUCACCUCACCACCAUCUCCGAUCUUCCGAUUCACUCCAAGCGAAAAUGCCAGCCAUGACGGACCUGUGUUCCAUCCAUUGCUUCACUCUCCUCUUCCUCCUCCUCGCUUCCCUCGCCUCCGCUUCAGCUCCCCCGUACCUCUCCCCGGCGAUAUUCGCCCCGAGCUACCAGAAAAUGCUGGACAACUUCAGGAUUUUCGUCUAUAGCUCCGACAAGACCGUCAAUUUGAAGUCCCCCGUUGAAUCGCUCUUUCACGCUUCGCUCAUGAACAGCCCGUUUGUGACGCGAGACCCCGACGGAGCCGACCUGUUCUUCGUCCCUCUCGACUCCGACCUGUCCACGCGUUCCACAUCUCACGUGGUUAGGGAUCUAAGGACGGAGCUACCGUACUGGAAUCGGACUCUCGGUGCCGACCACUUCUACAUAUCCUGCUCCGGUAUUGGGUACGAGUCCGAUCGUAAUCUCGUGGAACUGAAGAAGAACUCGGUCCAGAUAUCGUGUUUCCCGGCACCUGAGGAUAAGUUCAUCCCUCACAAGGAUAUAACACUACCUCCUUUCAUCACCUAUGGCCUUGUAGAACCUCAGGCUCCGGUGAACAAUUCAGCGAAGUACCUUGGGUUUGCGAAGCACGGGGCCCUGAAGAUUCCCGAGAUGGUCGUCGAGCUGAUCAAAGACCCCGACUUCCUGAUCGAACAGGAACCAUCCAAUCGAGUGACUUACGAAGAGAGGUUCAGGAGUAGCAAGUUUUGCUUGUUUGAUUACGAGGGCGAUGUCUCGGGGAUUGGGGAGGCGAUGCGAGUGGGCUGCGUUCCUGUGGUGAUCACAGUCCGCCCGAUUCAGGACCUGCCAUUGAUCGAUGUGCUGCAAUGGCAGGAGAUGGCUGUGUUCCUUGGAAGGGACAAGGGAGGGGUUAAGGAGCUCAAGCGGGUUCUGGGCUCGGUGAGUGAGGAUAGGUACGAGAAGAUGCGGGGCUCGGGUAUAAGCGUGGGCAGGCAUUUCAUGUGGAAUGAUCCGCCCCAACUGAUGGAUUCAUUUCAUAUGGUGAUGUACCAGCUGUGGCUGAGACGGCACACCAUCAGAUAUGCCCGACGGGACUGGGUGUAAAACUUUGAAAUCACAAACUGUAGCAGUCGGGUGAUGGUGAAUGCAAAUCGACCCCGACCCAAAACGAACUGCAGUAUCACACACGAAAACAGCUUGUUUUGGUUUUGUAAUAUCACUUGGGGAAAGUUCUGAUGCGGUUCAUUGAGCUGAAAGUCUGAUUUUGAGAGGAAACCAGAGAACUUUGCUAGAGCUGGAGCUUACACAAGCAUUUAUCGAGCUCAGUCAACCCUAUUUGGAUUUGAGCUGCUCGUGUAUAACUCUAUAUCACGAGCUGAACUUGAGCUCGGAUCUGAAGUAUCGACCGAGCUCGAGCUCACCAAAAAUUUAAUCGAGCAGAGCUCGAGCAGCGGGCUCCAUUAAAUCCGGUGCCCAGUAUACUGUCACUCUCAGUCUCAAUCCCAGGACUUUGGUGCUUUUAAAAAUGAUUUCCC